ACUGCCACUAUCCCAACCAGGCCAUACAAAGAGAAAACAGAAAUUCAAAAGGAGCACCUAGGACCAGGCGUGUUGGUGGCCACCAGAAGUCCAUCUGAAUGCGGGGUCCUUAAGGAGGAACACUGGGGCUUAAGCCCCAUCCUUUCUGUGGAGGACCGAUUGGGAAGCACUCCCCAUUUCCUAUAAGUCAAGUGAGGAGGACUCCCGGGCACAUCGGGAGCACCAGCUUCACACUUCCUGCUAAACAUUUGCUGAACAACAGCAGCCUCUAGGGCCACCACAGCCUGGCCACCAGAGAAAAUAAUAGUGGGAGAGACCCUAGGUAAGACGGGCUUGUGUCCCUGCAGUGUGGGGACAUGUGUGAACAUACAGACUUGUGUUUGCUCCUCUCCUGAAAAUUCUGAGGCAGGAGUCUGGCUGGAGCAUCCAAGAAUGCUGGGCAAGGAAACAUGGCAACCAUCACCUGGCAAGGUGAGGCAGGAGAAAGUCACCGUUGGGCACGGCAGCCUCCGAGACACCUUUAGCAUACCCGGAGCAAGAGGUCUGUCUGCCAGUGAUUGAAGGCUUCCAACAUCAGUUCCCACUCUAGCAGCUGCCUCUUACUCUCUGAGCACCAGCUAAUUGCUCCCAGGCCACCUCAUUUCUACGCUUCCUGCUUCUCAUAAGAUGGGGAAUCCAAACCACACAGUAGACAGAAGGGCAGAAGGCCUGAAGGAGAAGGAUCCAACGUGAACAACAGCAGAAACUAACGAAUCAGUGCUGGGAAGGUAGCAGCAGUGGUCACAUAGUUUUUUACAAUCUCUUCAAAUCGCCAAUAAAAACAGUAACUUGAUAGCAGAACCAAAUCCAAGCAGAUAACAUCUAAAACCACGCCUGGCGAUGAAGUGCAUUCGUGUCCCAGGGCUAGUGUAACAAAGUGCCACAAACUUGGCAGCUAAAAUGAUGGAUAUUUCUCUCUCACCGUCCUGGAGGCCAGAAGUCCAAAACCAAGGGGUUGGCCUGGCUGGUUCUUCCCAGAGGCUCUGAGAGAGACUAUGCACACACACCUCUCCUUUAACUUGGCAACCCUUGACUCUCCUUGCCUUGUAGAUGUACCACUCCAAUCUCUGCCUCCAUCCCUGCGUCUCUGUGCCAAACCCCCCUCUCCCUUCUCUUCUAAGGACACCAGUCAUUGAUUUAGGGCUGCCCUAAAUUCAGGCGACCUCAAUUGAAUUGCAUCUGCAAAGACCCUGUUCCACGUCAGGUCACAUUCCCAGGCACUGGCAGUUAGCACUUUGACAUUCCCCAAAUUCCGAUCUUUGCGGCCUCGGCUCAGUGGGACCGAGGACAGUGGGACCAUCUUUGGGUCGGUGGGACCCCACCAGGCUCCCUUGGACUUCCGCUUGUGGUGCCACAGGGAAGCUGUAACCGGGCUGAGAGCCAGGGAACUAUGGGGCGCACACCUCCUCCUCUUCCUUGGAGUCUUGCACUACCUGUUGUUCACACCUGAAAUCAGUUGCCUCAUAAAUGUUGUCCAAUUUUAUGGUUGUUUAAUGUGGGAGGGUGAGUCCAGGACCGAGGACUCUGUCAGAGCUGGAGACCAAAGCCCACCCAAUAUCCCUGCAGAAGCUCCUUUUCACCUGAGCUCAGCCAGAACAGGCUUCUAUUGCUGGCAGCCAGGAGCCCCGCCUGAGCCGCGUGAUAAAUAAUGUCCUCUAGAACCUCCCUGGAGGCAGGUUCCAGGGCACCUCCUGUGGCCCCUUGGGACCCAUGGAUCGCACAGAGUGCAAUUCAGCAGGGGAAGUUUUCUGUACGGAAGGAAAGAUAGAGAGAAAAUGUAUAUAUUAGGUUGGUGCAAAAGUAAUUGCAGUUUUUGCCACUGAAUGUAAUGGCCUAUCCUCCUACAAGGCCGAGUUUAGGGAGACAUUUCAAAGAUCCAGAGCAACAGAUUCCACCCUACAGAAUUCAUGGAUAGUCACAUCCUGGGAAACCAUGGAGCUAUCGCGAGGGUCCCACGAAUCCAUGUGAUCCUAAGAAUUCGCUAUAGACUCAAUACUGGGCUGUUUCCAGGUAUGCACAGAGGCUGCUGCAUUUUAUAAAAUAAAAAUCCAUUUUAAAACUAUAAAUAAAUGCACGAUGGUUUUAGU
rnacentral:lncRNA from 1 species